ACCCCCUGCAAUGGGCAAAGAGACACCUUGUGUAGUGGUGUUCUUUUAUCAGGCAGGGGCAGAGUAGAUGGCAGUCCUUUCGUUCAUCCUAGCUUGAUGUCUGGCUUAGUGGCCAAAGCUGUUUUAUGCCUAGGACACAUAA